AUUGAACGCUGGCGGUAUGCUUAACACAUGCAAGUCGAACGGAGAAUUAGCAAUAGUUCUUAGUGGCGAACGGGUGAGUAACGCGUUGGUGACCUGCCCCGAAGAGGGGGAUAACAGUUCGAAAGGACUGCUAAUACCCCAUGUGGUUGUUGAGGUUAGAGGCUUGGCAACUAAAGGAGAAAUCCGCUUCGGGAGGGGCCUGCGUCCCAUCAGCUAGUUGGUAGGGUAAAAGCCUACCAAGGCGAAGACGGGUAGGGGGCCUGAGAGGGUGACCCCCCACACUGGCACUGAAACACGGGCCAGACACCUACGGGUGGCUG
rnacentral:rRNA from 1 species